rnacentral:rRNA from 1 species
UACGUAGGGAGCAAGCGUUGUUCGGAUUUACUGGGCGUAAAGGGCGCGUAGGCGGCAAUUCAAGUCAGCUGUGAAAUCUCCGGGCUUAACUCGGAACGGUCAGCUGAUACUGCUUUGCUAGAGUGCGGAAGGGGCAAUCGGAAUUCUUGGUGUAGCGGUGAAAUGCGUAGAUAUCGAGAGGAACACCUGAGGUGAAGACGGGUUGCUGGGCCGACACUGACGCUGACAGCGCGAAAGCCAGGGGAGCAAACGGG